AUUGAACGCUGGCGGCAGGCUUAACACAUGCAAGUCGAGCGGGGAUUGGGUGCUUGCACCUAAUCUUAGCGGCGGACGGGUGAGUAACGCUUAGGAAUCUACCAUUUAGUGGGGGACAACAUUCCGAAAGGGAUGCUAAUACCGCAUACGCCCUACGGGAGAAAGCAGGGGAUCUUCGGACCUUGCGCUAAAUGAUGAGCCUAAGUCGGAUUAGCUAGUUGGUGGGGUAAAGGCCUACCAAGGCGACGAUCUGUAGCGGGUCUGAGAGGAUGAUCCGCCACACUGGGACUGAGACACGGCCCAGACUCCUACGGGAGGCUG
rnacentral:rRNA from 1 species